CGGGUGAGUAACACGUGAGCAACCUGCCCCGAAGACUGGGAUAACACCGGGAAACCGGUGCUAAUACCGGAUGUCCUCCUCUGAUCGCAUGGUCUAGGGAGGAAAUGAAUUUUGCUUCGGGAGGGGCUCGCGGGCUAUCAGCUUGUUGGUGGGGUAACGGCUCACCAAGGCGACGACGGCUAGCUGGUCUGAGAGGACGACCAGCCACACUGGGACUGAGACACGGCCCAG
rnacentral:rRNA from 1 species